rnacentral:rRNA from 1 species
GACGAACGCUGGCGGCGUGCCUAAUACAUGCAAGUCGAGCGGACGGAUGGGAGCUUGCUCCCAGACCGUCAGCGGCGGACGGGUGAGUAACACGUGGGCAACCUGCCUGUAAGACUGGGAUAACUCCGGGAAACCGGGGCUAAUACCGGAUACCUCUUUCCCUCACGUGAGGGAAAGCUGAAAGAUGGCAUCUCGCUAUCACUUACAGAUGGGCCCGCGGCGCAUUAGCUAGUUGGUGAGGUAACGGCUCACCAAGGCGACGAUGCGUAGCCGGCCUGAGAGGGUGAUCGGCCACACUGGGACUGAGACACGGCCCAGACUCCUACGGGAGGCAGCAGUAGGGAAUCUUCCGCAAUGGGCGAAAGUCUGACGGAGCAACGCCGCGUGAGUGAUGAAGGUUUUCGGAUCGUAAAACUCUGUUGUCAGGGAAGAACAAGUACCGGAGUAACUGCCGGUACCUUGACGGUACCUGAACAGAAAGCCACGGCUAACUACGUG